rnacentral:rRNA from 1 species
GGCCAGACUCCUACGGGAGGCAGCAGUGGGGAAUAUUGCACAAUGGGGGAAACCCUGAUGCAGCGACGCCGCGUGAGUGAAGAAGUAUUUCGGUAUGUAAAGCUCUAUCAGCAGGGAAGAAAAUGACGGUACCUGACUAAGAAGCCCCGGCUAACUACGUGCCAGCAGCCGCGGUAAUACGUAGGGGGCAAGCGUUAUCCGGAUUUACUGGGUGUAAAGGGAGCGUAGACGGCAUGGCAAGUCAGAUGUGAAAGCCCGGGGCUCAACCCCGGGACUGCAUUUGAAACUGUCAGGCUGGAGUGCAGGAGAGGUAAGUGGAAUUCCUAGUGUAGCGGUGAAAUGCGUAGAUAUUAGGAGGAACACCAGUGGCGAAGGCGGCUUACUGGACUGUAACUGACGUUGAGGCUCGAAAGCGUGGGGAGCAAACAGGAUUAGAUACCCCGGUAA